UACGUAGGGUGCAAGCGUUGUCCGGAAUUAUUGGGCGUAAAGAGCUCGUAGGCGGUUCGUCGCGUCGGCUGUGAAAUCCCGAGGCUCAACCUCGGGUCUGCAGUCGAUACGGGCAAACUGGAGUGUUGCAGGGGAGACUGGAAUUCCUGGUGUAGCGGUGAAAUGCGCAGAUAUCAGGAGGAACACCGGUGGCGAAGGCGGGUCUCUGGGCAACAACUGACGCUGAGGAGCGAAAGCGUGGGGAGCGAACAGG
rnacentral:rRNA from 1 species